GUGUUUGUAGAAAGAGGAGAUGUUUGGCAUCUCCUUUGACAGGGAUCGGCACAGCCUGCUUGUUUACCUAUUACCAACACAACCGGUUAAAGGUACCCACCUCUUAGGUGGAUCUCUAAACCAAAAUUUUAG